rnacentral:rRNA from 1 species
UACGUAGGGUGCGAGCGUUGUCCGGAAUUAUUGGGCGUAAAGAGCGCGUAGGCGGAAAUUUAAGCGUGGCCUGAAAGCCCCCGGCUCAACCGGGGAGUGCGGCUGCGAACUGGGUUUCUUGAGGACGAUAGAGGAGAGUGGAAUUCCUGGUGUAGCGGUGAAAUGCGUAGAUAUCAGGAGGAACACCCGAGGCGAAGGCGGCUCUCUGGGUCGUACCUGACGCUGAGGCGCGAAAGCGUGGGGAGCGAACGGG